CAGUAGCCGCGGUAAUACGUAGGGUGCAAGCGUUGUCCGGAAUUAUUGGGCGUAAAGAGCUCGUAGGCGGUUUGUCGCGUCUGCUGUGAAAACGCGAGGCUCAACCUCGCGCCUGCAGUGGGUACGGGCAGACUAGAGUGUGGUAGGGGAGAUUGGAAUUCCUGGUGUAGCGGUGGAAUGCGCAGAUAUCAGGAGGAACACCGAUGGCGAAGGCAGAUCUCUGGGCCAUUACUGACGCUGAGGAGCGAAAGCGUGGGGAGCGAACAGGAUUAGAUACCCCGUGUAGUCCCUGUCUCUUAUA
rnacentral:rRNA from 1 species